rnacentral:rRNA from 2 species
GAUGAACGCUGGCGGCGUGCCUAACACAUGCAAGUCGAGCGAACUUCUUCGGAAGUGAGCGGCGGACGGGUGAGUAACGCGUGGGUAACCUGCCCUAUACACACGGAUAACGUACCGAAAGGUACGCUAAUACGAGAUAACAUAUUUUUAUCGCAUGAUAAGAAUAUCAAAGCUCCGGCGGUAUAGGAUGGACCCGCGUCUGAUUAGCUAGUUGGUAAGGUAACGGCUUACCAAGGCGACGAUCAGUAGCCGACCUGAGAGGGUGAUCGGCCACAUUGGAACUGAGACACGGUCCAAACUCCUACGGGAGGCAGCAGUGGGGAAUAUUGCACAAUGGGCGAAAGCCUGAUGCAGCAACGCCGCGUGAGCGAUGAAGGCCUUCGGGUCGUAAAGCUCUGUCCUCAAGGAAGAUAAUGACGGUACUUGAGGAGGAAGCCCCGGCUAACUACGUG